GACGAACGCUGGCGGCGUGCUUAACACAUGCAAGUCGAACGGAAAGGUCCUGCUUUUGUGGGGUGCUCGAGUGGCGAACGGGUGAGUAACACGUGAGUAACCUGCCCUUGACUCUGGGAUAACUUCAGGAAACCGGGGCUAAUACCGGAUAGGAGCUCCUGCUGCAUGGUGGGGGUUGGAAAGUUUCGGCGGUUGGGGAUGGACGCGCGGCUUAUCAGCCUGUUGGUGGGGUAGUGGCUUACCAAGGCCUUGACGGGUAGCCGGCCUGAGAGGGUGACCGGCCACAUUGGGACUGAGAUGCGGCCCAGACUCCUACGGGAGGCAGCAGUGGGGAAUAUUGCACAAUGGGCGGAAGCCUGAUGCAGCAACGCCGCGUGCGGGAUGACGGCCUUCGGGUUGUAAACCGCUUUCGCCUGUGACGAAGCGUGAGUGACGGUAAUGGGUAAAGAAGCACCGGCUAACUACGUG
rnacentral:rRNA from 1 species